UAGUAGAAAGAAAAAAGAAAGAAAAACAAAAACAAAAAAAAAAAAAAGGAAAAAAUAGUGAACCCAAGAUAAACUAAUUAAUAAACAAGAAUGUACAAAGAAAAAAACAAAAAGAAAAGGAAAAAAGAAAGACGAAAAAGAAAAGACAAAAAAAAAAAAAGACAAAAAGGAAAGGAAAGGAAAGCAAAAGGAAAGGAAAGGAAAGAAACAGAAAGAAAAGUAUGAAAGACAAAACCAAAUUCAAAUUUUUAUAGACGGGCUAUUCGGAAUCGACUUGGAAGAAAUUCAAGAAGUAAAUAAUGAAGGCAUUCCUUUGGUGGUAACGAUAUGCGUGGAGGCCAUUGAAAACAACUGGAUUGACACCUUGGGGGUUUACCGGAUCUCUUCAACAAAAACCAAGAUGGAUGCACUGAAAGAUGUACUUUCUAUUUCCUUUUCUUGUUAAGGAAGAUCAGCAAAG
rnacentral:rRNA from 1 species